UGAAGGUAAUGAUUCUACUCACCAGAACAAAUUCAAUAAGCUGUAUUUGCUCUGGUGACUCUAGUGUCCCUUUAAGUGUAGCACGGUAGAUUAACAUGCUAACUGCAAUUCUUCUAACUGCUUCCAGAGAAUCCUCAAAUUAUCCCCACUAUCAAUUCACGUAUAUUCUAAAACUCUACAUAAAACAUAACCAAAGACUUGGCACGGCUAAAUACA